AACGCGAAGAACCUUACCUGGGCUCGAACGGCUUAAGAUCAACGGUAGAAAUACUGUCUUCUCGCAAGAGACUUGAGUCGAGGUGCUGCAUGGCUGUCGUCAGCUCGUGUCGUGAGAUGUUGGGUUAAGUCCCGCAACGAGCGCAACCCUUGUCCUGUGUUGCCAUCAUUUAGUUGGGCACUCUCAGGAGACCGCCAGCGAUAAGCUGGAGGAAGGUGGGGAUGAUGUCAAGUCAUCAUGGCCUUUAUGUCCAGGGCUACACACGUGCUACAAUGGCCGGUACAAAGCGCUGCAAACUCGCAAGAGGGAGCUAAUCGCAAAAAACCGGUCUCAGUUCGGAUCGCAGGCUGCAACUCGCCUGCGUGAAGCUGGAAUCGCUAGUAAUGCCGUAUCAGAACGAUGGCGUGAAUACGUUCCCGGGCCUUGUA
rnacentral:rRNA from 1 species